AUUAGAGGCACUAAAAUAUGUCUUAGCAAUAAUGUGAUAACUGGAUCUUAAAGUAACGAGAUCUAAGAUUUUCGUGAGUAUUCGUUGAAAUGAAACUAAUAUUUUUCGGAUUAACUACAAGUUAAAUUAUUUUUAACAACAUACUCCCGAUGUUUCAGUUACUUUGCAGCUACCGUGAUCACGGGCAGACGAGAUGUGAAAGAAAAUUAUUAUAAACGCGUAGUAAAGCCGAAAAAUUUUUGUUUUAUUUCAUUGGAUCUUGAAGGUUACCUGAUGCGGCGACUUCAGCUACAGGUCUUUGUUGCUCAUGAGCCAUGAAGCCCACUACCGAGAAUAUGACGAAACCGGCGAACAUUGAUGUACUGGAGUUGACUGAGCAGACUAUCAGAGCAUCUCUGUUGACAAUACAUGAAAUUCUUAGUCGUGCAAAAUAUACUGUUCCGGGAUAAUAUUUUUCCAACUUACUUGUAUACAUUAUUGGUGAACUUAUUAUAACUUCCCAACGCGACGAGAGUGCCGAGACCGAGACCAUACGAGAAGAAAAUCUGAGUUACAGCAUCUAUCCACACUUCGGAUUCCAGAAGCUUCGACAUGUUCGGCAUCACGUAGAACUUUAUGCCCUCAAACGCUCCCGGUAGAGUGAUACCUGUAUGAAACCUUGUAUUAGAUUCAAAAUUCUUAAAAUUGAAAAAUAUUUUUUAUAUUAGUAUAACAUUCAUGAAGCUAACCUAAAUUCUUAAAGGAAGGCUUAUUAUUGACAUCAAUUUUUUAUUUAAUAUGAUAUAUUUUUUAAAAUAAAUCGAUUAUUAUCAAUGUAUAAAAGCUAACCCCUAAUAAGCAGUACGGUCAGCAAAAAGUAUGGGAACAGCGCAGUGAAGUAAACGACUUUGCCGGUCCAACGAACUCCUUUCCAGAUGCAGAAGUAGCAGAGCACCCACACCAGCAGCAGCGUGCCCGCCAGCUCCCAGCGGAUGUUGCCAAUGUGUUCUAUGCCGCUGGAUAUUUGGAGAGCGCGACGUCUGGAAAUUAAUAAAACAAGAUUAUUAUCAGUUAUCCAACAAUUAUAUACAGAGAGGAAUGCCUUACUGACAUUCUUGCCGUUGAGUGUGCAGAAGGUGUUCAUAUCGAAGUCGGACCAGCAAGUCAGGUUCUUCCUGUCAUAUGGAUUUACACAAGUCUCCGUGUUCCAGUAGUUGUCGCAAGUUCUCCACGGAACGUCUGAUGGUGACAAGGAUAAGUUCAUUUCUAUUCUUCUAGGGAAUGCAAUAGUGUAUAUCGAAACUACAUGAUACAAAAUUAUUUACCAGAUCUCAUUGACAUAAAGAAAUAGAAGAUGGCCCACGCUAAGAUGACUAUGUAGUACACGUUCAUCCAGCACGACAUCACUGCUGCGGCGUAACCGAUCCCUACACAGAAGGUUAUAAGUUAUAUUACAGCAAGUUCCAUGAAGAACAUCGGAAUCCCGGCAAGGAAGAGGGUGAGGAAGUACGGAAUAAGGAAGGCGCCGCCACCAUUCUUGUAGCAGAGGAAAACUGUCGCUGGCAGACAGCUGAUGUUAUAAGUGGUAACAGGCUACUGUAGUAGUAAUUUAAUUUGUAAAAUUAAGUUCUUUUUAUUGAUAAUAAAAACUUAUUUAU